rnacentral:lncRNA from 1 species
CUCUCCUUCUCCAUCCUAGCUGUCAUCUUCACAACCAUCUCCUCUCCUUCUCCUUCUCCUUCUGCUAAAAACCUCCUUCCAUCAAUCUCCUCCAUCUCAUUCUCGGCCAAUGGCUUCGAAGAUGCAUCUUCCCCAAUGCCAAAAAGUAAGUAGAAGUCAAGAAAGCAGAGGAAGGGAAGAGUAGCAACCGAAGCACCAUCACCUCCUCCUCCUCCU